rnacentral:rRNA from 1 species
UAAUACAUGCAAGUCGAGCGCACCUUCGGGUGAGCGGCGGACGGGUGAGUAACGCGUGGGAAUAUGCCCUAUGGUGCGGAACAACUGAGGGAAACUUCAGCUAAUACCGCAUGUGCCCUACGGGGGGAAAGAUUUAUCGCCAUAGGAGUAGCCCGCGUUGGAUUAGUUUGUUGGUGGGGUAAUGGCUCACCAAGACUACGAUCCAUAGCUGGUCUGAGAGGAUGAUCAGCCACACUGGGACUGAGACACGGCCCAGACUCC